UACGUAGGUGGCAAGCGUUUGUCCGGAAUUAUUGGGCGUAAAGAGCGCGCAGGCGGUCUAUCAAGUCAGAUGUGAAAUAUCCGGGCUUAACCCGGAGGGGUCAUUUGAAACUGGUAGACUAGAGUACAGCAGAGGAUAGCGGAAUUCCCGGUGUAGUGGUGAAAUGCGUAGAUAUCGGGGAGGAACACCAGUGGCGAAGGCGGCUAUCUGGGCUGAAACUGACGCUGAGGCGCGAAGGCUAGGGGAGCAAACAGG
rnacentral:rRNA from 1 species